CGUCCCUUCGGCACCCAAGUAAAUUGCUUCUGGCUAGCUGGUUGAUAUUUCAUGAGUGCUACCAUGACUCCGUGUGGUUUUUGUUAAAACAAAAA